CAAGGAUUGUCUCUAAACAAAUUUUAAAAUUCCGUCCACCAAAUGAGAGAUUGAGAGAGAGAAAGAGGGAGAGACCUUAUCUCUCCACAACAACUUAAUUCACCUUAAAUUUCUUCUCUUCCUCUGCCUCUAGGCAAAAUUGUACAUUCCAAAGAUUGCGUAGAUGAACAUGACCAGGAAGAUGAGAAGACUGAUGUUCAACAAUGCUGGGAGAGACAAUAUCAAAGGAAGUAGCAGAUCAUGGAACACCUUUGGUCCUUUCCCAGGACGCAGGAUGUGGAUAAUCCGUGACAUUCGUAUCAAUUCCACGAUGGAAGGAGACACAAGGCUACAUCUUCCAAGAUGAAGAAACAGAUUGUUACUUCAGGUGGCUGACUUCACUUCAGCAUUAUCCCAGGAAGACAUACAAUGACAUCUUCAUGGGUUCUGCAAACCCACAAGGAAUAUAAUGAGGAGAGUGCUAUUCCUGGUUCUGAAGCAUGCAUCUAAAUUUCCUUGGGACAUGCUAGCACAAGGACUGGGCAGGUUAAUUGAUUCUCUGUGGUAAUAAAUUUUGUUAAAUAAGAAAGAGAUGAGUGAUGGAAGAAUCAUUCCUAAUACUUGUAAGUUAUUUGAAUUCAAGGAGGGUGUAUAUUUUGACCUUUACUAUCACUAAGAGAUAUGAUCAAACCAUGUUUAGUUUCCAGAGAAUCAUACUUUUAUCUUGUUUGUAAUUGUAGGAUAUAAAUAAUAUUUUUGGACUUUAGAGCUGGAGAUUCAUAUUGGUAAUUCUUUUAGACUUAAAAUAAUAAUUUGAGCAUCUUGCUUGUUAUGGAAGUUUUUCUGCCUCUCUUUGGAUAUCUGAACUUUUAAUGAUUUAGUUUCCUUUAUGUUUUAUACAUUGCUUUUAAUGAACCAAGUUCAAAUGACAUGAAUUGUGUUUAAGAAUAUAUUAAGAAUAAUGUUAAGAAUAGAUUUCUUAUAUCUUAGAUACACAUAUCCUACACACAAUACCUGCAGAUUUACAUAUACAAUAAAAAUGUUAAAAAGCUGAAAUGAAAUUCUAAAUGAUAGAACUGAAAUUUGAACCCAUGGAUCUGAACUGUUUUUCUUGGAUCUGAACUCUGUUUUUAUCUACAGCUCAAUGCUACAUGUAAGUAUUUAAAAGUCAAUUAAAUACUUGCUUUUGUAUAUGA